AACGAACGCUGGCGGCAGGCUUAACACAUGCAAGUCGAGCGCCCCGCAAGGGGAGCGGCAGACGGGUGAGUAACGCGUGGGAAUUUACCCAGUGGUACGGAACAACCCAGGGAAACUUGGGCUAAUACCGUAUAAGUCCUUCGGGAGAAAGAUUUAUCGCCAUUGGAUGAGCCCGCGUCGGAUUAGCUAGUUGGUGGGGUAACGGCCUACCAAGGCGACGAUCCGUAGCUGGUCUGAGAGGAUGAUCAGCCACACUGGGACUGAGACACGGCCCAGACUCCUACGGGAGGCAGCAGUGGGGAAUAUUGGACAAUGGGCGCAAGCCUGAUCCAGCCAUGCCGCGAGAGUGAUGAAGGCCUUAGGGUUGUAAAGCUCUUUCGGCGGGGAAGAUAAUGACGGUACCCGCAGAAGGAGCCCCGGCUAACUUCGUGCCAGCAGCCGCGGUAAAAC
rnacentral:rRNA from 1 species